AAAUUGAAGAGUUUGAUCAUGGCUCAGAUUGAACGCUGGCGGCAGGCCUAACACAUGCAAGUCGAACGGUAACAGGAAGAAGCUUGCUUCUUUGCUGACGAGUGGCGGACGGGUGAGUAAUGUCUGGGGAACUGCCUGAUGGAGGGGGAUAACUACUGGAAACGGUAGCU
rnacentral:rRNA from 1 species